rnacentral:sRNA from 1 species
CUUGGUCAUUUAGAGGAAGUAAAAGUCGUAACAAGGUCUCCGUUGGUGAACCAGCGGAGGGAUCAUUACCGAGUACUAUAACUCAUAACCCUUUGUGAACCUUUAUACCUGUUGCUUCGGCGGCGCGCCUCCCGGGGCGUGCCCGCCGGCAUUAUCAGAAUCUCUGUUCGAACCCGACGAUACAUCUGAGUGUUCUAAGCGAACUGUUAAAACUUUCAACAACGGAUCUCUUGGCUCCAGCAUCGAUGAAGAACGCAGCGAAACGCGAUAUGUAAUGUGAAUUGCAGAAUUCAGUGAAUCAUCGAAUCUUUGAACGCACAUGGCGCCUUCCAGUAUCCUGGGAGGCAUGCCUGUCCGAGCGUCGUUUCAACCCUCGAGCCCCCGUGGCCCGGCGUUGGGGAUCUGCCCAGGCAGUCCCCGAAAACCAGUGGCGGACCCGUUGGGCCCUUCCUUUGCGUAGUAACAUCUGCCUCGCAUCGGGAGCCUGCGGGCUAUCCGGCCUCUAAACCCCCCUCAAGCCCGCUCCGGCGGCACCAAGGUUGACCUCGGAUCAGGUAGGAAUACCCGCUGAACUUAAGCAUAUCAAUAAGCGGAGGAAAAGAAACCAGCAGGGAUUGCCUCAGUAACGGCGAGUGGAGCGGCAACAGCUCAAAUUUGAAAUCUGGCUCCUUCGGGGCCCGAGUUGUAAUUUGCAGAGGAUGCUUCGGGUACGGGUUCCUUCCGAGUUCCCUGGAACGGGACGCCAUAGAGGGUGAGAGCCCCGUCUGGUAGGACACCCAGCCCGUGUGAAGCUCCCUCGACGAGUCGAGUUGUUUGGGAAU